UGAAGAUAGUUUUGUUGGUUCAGAACUUGCGAGGAGAAUAGCCAAGACGGCUCCCAUCAUUGGAGGUUCUGAGGCCUCUUCCCUUUUGGUAUGGUUGUUUUUUUAUUUGAUUACUGUAUUGAUUUUGUUGUGAUUUUUAUUGCUACACUGGAUAAAAUGGUGAGAAAAUGGUGGUGUUAGUUCCUAACAUUCUAUGUUGAAGUUGUACACGGGUUGGUAAUUCUGGCAUCAGCAACUCCCAAUAAUAAAAUUUUCAAGACAUGACCGAGGAAAUUGCUGGAACUACUUUUAAGGAACUUCCCUGAAAAUUAUUUCCAAGUCUCUUGACUAUGUUUAACUGCUUCUCCUUUCAAGAAAAAAGUAAGUCAAGUUGGUGAAUUGAUCUUCAUUUUCAAGAAAAUGUGUUCUUGGGAUAGUGUUCUUUUGGUGGAACUGUCCCUUGUAUCCUUUCUUUGCUUUAAAAUCAUGUGCAAGGAUGAGCUGCAGUCUUUCUUUCAUGUCAUUUUCAGAAUGCGGGAAUAAGCAAUUGUAAUUACAGGCCAUAUUUGUUGCUGCAUAAAGCUGCUGUUCUUUAGCAAUCUCUCGUGAGACGUAUUCCCUAAACAUGCUAUUCUAGCCUUUUCUGGUCGGAAAGGAACAGUUUUUGAUUUGGCGAAGUUUGUCGACAAGGGUCUCCAAAUCAAGUUAACUGGUGGAAGACAAGGUCAGUUAUGUGUAAAUUUGAUUGGUUUGGAAAUUCAGGCCAUGUCUUUGUUCAGUUGUGAACGGAUUGGUUCUAAUAUUUCUGUUCAGAAACUGUUGUGCUUAUGAUUGUCUUUUCUUGGUUU